GAUGAAUGCUGGCGGCGUGCCUAACACAUGCAAGUCGAGCGGUAACAGGAGUAGUUUACUACUUGCUGACGAGCGGCGGACGGCUGAGUAACGCGUGGGAACGUGCCCCAAAGUGAGGGAUAGCUCCAGAAAUGGAGUCUAAUACCGCAUAUGAUCUUCGGCUUAAAGGAUUUAUUCGCUUUGGGAGCGGCCCGCGUUAGAUUAGGUAGUUGGUAGGGUAAAGGCCUACCAAGCCGACGAUCUAUAGCUGGUCUGAGAGGAUGAACAGCCAGACUGGGACUGAGACACGGCCCAGACUCCUACGGGAGGCAGCAGUGAGGAAUCUUCCACAAUGGGCGAAAGCCUGAUGGAGCAACGCCGCGUGAAGGAUGAAGGCCCUCGGGUUGUAAACUUCUUUUAUAAGUGAAGAAUAUGACGGUAACUUAUGAAUAAGCACCGGCUAACUACGUGCCAGCAGCCGCCGUAAGAC
rnacentral:rRNA from 1 species